rnacentral:ncRNA from 2 species
AACUGAGAUAGAGGUGCAAAACUUAUCAGUAGCAUUAUGGAGGUAAGCUCAAUGAAGUAAUGUGAAAGGAUUUUUUGCCGAAGUGUACGGGUAAAGCUUUAAUACCGUAUCACUGGUAUUUCAUAUAACAUAUGUAAUACUGUCACAUUUGUGGAGCGCUAUCAUUCUU